ensembl:lncRNA
AGGGCAAGCCUUAGGCUGAAGUGCUUGCUAUUUUGCAAAGCCUUGAGGACUGUACUGACCUGGCUACUGAGAACUGGGCUUAGUCCAGAAAACCAGUGGCAAUGGCUUGGAAAUGCACGGAAGCACAUAAUCUUGCAAAUCAAGCUGCUAAUGGAAACUGGGGUGCCAUCCAAGGUAGAUCCUCAGUCACUGGUGCUUUUGUCCUAAACUGGUUAUUUUGGAUUGCAAAUGUGAGGCAGUGAUCAGCUGGUUUUCUGUCAUCACCUGAAGGAGCCACUCUGUGGAUGCUGAAGUGCACUCAGAACACAGGAGAACAGUCACCACGAGUUACAGGGAGACCUCAGAUCAGUGUCCUGCUCAGGAAGAAAAGAAAGAGGUUCUGAUCAGAGGAAGUUGACAGCUUGUCCUUAAAAUUAGACAUGCCCUUGAGGAAACCACACAGAGAUCACAGUUUUCAUCAGCUCCAGAGAUGUAGUAGUUGCUAGAGGGGUCAUUUACUUAAGUGGUUGGUACUUUCUGGAGUAUAUAUAAAGAAAAGAAAGUAAGCUAUUACAUUAAAUAGCUCUUAAGUAGGAUGGAACAAUGAGGUUGGUGAAAAGUAGUGUUUAUAAAUGUUACUGAAGAAAAAAUAAUCAGCAGAUGAAGAAGUACAGUUAUUAACACAAACGAUUUCCAUGCAUGGAUUUGGAAAGCUCUUAGUCCAAACAAAUGAUUUAGGUAAUGCCAGUAGAGAUGGAUGGCUGUUCCUACUGAGCACAGAAUUAAGAGAACGAGAAAGCUGGUGACAUCAGUAUCAUCUGAUUGAAGGUGAAUCUAAGCUAGAGAAAUCUGGAAGUGCGUUCAGCCCAGAGCACAACCUGGCAUUACACAAAGCUGUUUGCUGGAGAGGUUAGGGAAGCCGGACAGCUGAUAUCCAUCAAGGAGAGAGAGCUCUUUCUGUGGUGGGCUGGCUAAUUGUUUGUUUAGGCAUUCAGCUGGGUUGCAGAAGACUUGUGUUUGGUUUCAGGUUUGUUUAAAACACCCUAUGCUCCCUGGACCGUUAAUUAUUUGACCUCUGUUGUGGUUCCUAUGUAAGAUGUUGGUAUAAUAGUUCUUUUCAUUGAGGAUAUAUGCUGGUAACCAACCGAAAAGGUCACUGCCCAGGUGCUGUAACUCUGUGUUCCACCCUAUAAAAGACAGAGAAACCAGAAUGGGUGUUUUCUUUCUGUAAGCUUCACUAAUGAAAUCUAUUCUCACUGGAGCUCAUUGAUCAACGUUGUUUGAUGAAUGGUUAUUUGCUUGAUCUAAUGUUUACUGAAGUCAGCAGAAAUCUUUCACUGGACAUUUAAUUUUUAUUUUUUUUCCUGUCUUGCUGCUGUGCUUUAUGGCCAAUGAGUCGGCGGAGGAAAAAUGCUCAGGAAUAAAAGCCCUUGGGAUGAGUAUGAAGGAACAGAGAUCUUCAGGGUUAUACAGUUUGUAGCUUUAAAGUAAUGAUAACUUCUUUCAGUUCCAGUUGGAAGACCCCAGAGGCCAAGAUUAACCUUAAUACAACACGUAGGUAAAGAGCAGGAGGUGGAGGAGCACGUGGUACAACAAAGGGUCAUGUCUGGAAGAUGGAGGGAAGGGGGAGCAACCAAAUAAUUGGUUAUUAUUAGCAACUAAUUACUGUAGAUACUAUGAAUCUUGUGAGAAGCAAUACUGAAAUAGCCGCUGUGGUUUUUAUUUGGAUUAAGCUGUAUUUCAGUCUCAAACUUGUGAAGCUGCAGACACAUAACAUGUGCUGAAGCACAGGUUUAGCUUCUUUAAGAAAUAGAGGUUACAGGUGCAUGUGAUUGUACAUGUACAGCAAAUUCUUUUGUUUUCAAGAAAAUCUUUUAAUUUGAGCUUGAAACUGGAUCCUGCUGGCCUUAUUUUAGACUAGAAGUCUAAAGACUGGAUAAAGAUAGCCUUGCUUUAGUGCAGCAGCAGCAGAUGAAUCUCUGACUUCUCACAAGGUGGUGAUAGCAGUGUGGGUUCUUUGCAAUGCCUAUACUGAAAAAUACUUUCACCAAGGCAGAAUCAGACAGUAAUGAAUUAAUUCCAUUGUGUAGUUCAUCUACUUUGCUUGACGUGGAUGGUUCUUUUCUGGCAUUGUAUGGCAAUCAUCGCUUUGGUGUGUUUAGACUCUCUUCACAUCAGGGUCCUGAUUUAGCAAAUACCUGGAACAGAAUCUCUAAGUACUGGGAUGUUCUAUGAAAUUGAACAUGUCAUUCAAGUGCUUUAAGGAGGCUUAGUGUAAUUUACUCAUUUUGUCUUUUUGCUGAUAGUUCCUGGAGGGAUUUUUAUGCCUUUAGGACAAAUUAUCUGAUGAACCUGCAAUAAAAAGCAGGACUUAGUCCUAGAGAACAAGAUUCCAAGUGGGUCUUUAAAUUCCACAGCCAAAGCAUCUUUAUGUGGUAAGGAGCAGCACACGAGGCCUUCAGAUGAGACAUUUUCCACAGGAUGAGAAUUCAGUGAAAAUGUAUUUUGAAAAUCCUGCCCUCACUUGAUAUUUAUACUGCUAUCCAUUUGCAUGCAUUGUCUUUUGGACCAUAUAUUCUAUACAGUGUUAUUGGACAGUGAUAAAUGGCUCAACAAAGUUAAAAUUUAAUGAGAAAAGGGCAAUGAGAUGUUGUGCUUUUAUAAUGACUUAUCUGGCUUGUACAGAUAAGAUUGCGUAUGAAAUAUAAUAAUGUUAUCAAUGUAAUCUAUGUUACUUUGGACAUUACCAUACUUAUGAUUCAUUAACAGUAACUGUUUUGCUAUGUAGCUUUCUGUACUGGUUAUGUUGCUUGGCAACAUUAACUCCAAGAUAAUGAUGUCUUACUGCCUGUGAUUAAAUAAUGCUUUUUCCCCCAUAUUGUUUAUGAUAUAUCUAGCUUAUUUAUUUUCUUGUUUGCAAACUCUGUUCCUUAUUUUUCAUGCCAAAUAUAGCAAGGUAUGU